UUAUGGGCCUGUCCCACUUACUCAACUCUUUCGGAGACUGUUGACACCUGUCAUGGGUCGUUGCAGGUUGCCGUAAAUGUUCAACAUGUUGAAAAUCCAGCGGCGACCAGAACAAGGUACGGCUCUUUGGGCGACUACUCACGACCAUACAG